rnacentral:lncRNA from 1 species
AAUGGUUCAUUAUUUGGACUCUCCCACAACAAGAUAUGAAUCAUUUUUUACAAGCACAUAAAGCUGAAAAUUAUGCGACUAAGAUAAAAGUCAAACAAUGUAAAGCAAAAGAGAGGCUGAAAUAUUUAAGCCCUCAAAGUCUACAAGUUGAAGUCUUCAAGUCCGUUGGUCUUCAAGUUGAAGUCUUCAAAUUCGUCGAUCUUCAAGUUGAAAUAUUUAGGCCCUCCAAGUCUCAAAGUUGAAGUCUUCAAGUCUGUCGGUCUUUAAGUUGAAGUCUUCAAAUUCGCCGGUCUUAAAGUUGAAAUAUUUAAGCCUCCAAUUUAAGUCUUCAAGUUUGUCACUCUUCAAGUUUCAGUCUUCAAAUUCGCGGAUCUUAAAGUUGAAAGUUGAAGUGUGCAAGUUCGUCGGUCUUCAAGUUGAAGUCUUCAAAUUCGCCGAUCUUCAAGUUGAAAUAUUCUGGCCCUCCAAGUUUCAAAGUUGAAGUCUUCAAGUUUGUCGGUCUUCAAGUUUCAGUCUUCAAAUUCGCCGGUCUUAAAGUUAAAAUAUUUAAGCCCCUAAGUUGAAGUCUUCAGGUUCGUGGGUCUUCAAGUUUCAGUCUUCAAAUUCGCCGAUCUUAAAGUUGAAUUGUUAAGCCCUCUGAAUCUUCGAGUUAGAGUCUCCAAAGUCCGCCAAAUCUUCAAAGUUUUCCAAGUGUUCAGUCAAUGUCGUCUUCAAGUUGAAGCUUCAUAACUCUCCAAUCUUAAGGUGGACAUAUGAGUCCCUCUGCACCUUAAGUUAAUCUCUCCGGUAGUCGGGCAAUUUUGAGAGUAAUUUUUCCAAGAAUUGGGCCACAUUGAGAGUAAUCUCUCCAAGAAUUGGGCCACAUUGAGAGUAAUUUCUCCAAGAAUCGGGCCAUUUUGAGACUAAUCUCUCUGGUAAUUGGGCCACUUUGAGAGUAAUCUCUCCAACAAUUGGGCCACAUUGAGAGUAAUCUCUCCAAAAAUCGAGCCAUUUUGAGAGUAAUCUCUCCAAGAAUUGGGCCACAUUGAAAGUAAUCUCUCCAAGAAUCGGGCCAUGAAAGUAAUCCCUCCAAUAUUUGGGCAAGGAUGAGUACCCAUCCCCUCACACCCUAAGACUAC